AAAAUACUCCCUCCGUUCGAAAAAACGUGUCCCUCAAAUGGACGUGUCUAGCACUAACUUGGUGCUAGACACAUCCAUUUGAGGGACAAGUUUUUUUGGACGGAGGUGUACAUA
rfam:Triticum aestivum genome assembly, contig: Triticum_aestivum_CS42_TGACv1_scaffold_274943_3DS